rnacentral:lncRNA from 1 species
AAUAGUCAAACAAAUUAGCAGUGGAGCUCACCAAGACAGUACAUUCAGCCCUGAUUCAGAGAUGUCUCAGUUUAUCAGUUUUCUGUCAAUCAUUAAACAACAAAGAUGAAACAUGCAAUUAUGUACAAGGAGACAGAACUCCUAAUUUUUUCAUCCUAGCUGAAGCAGAAGGGUUUUAAUUGCUUGGAAAAAUAAGAUUUUUAUUUU